ensembl:lncRNA
AAAGACUCUUGGGACUAGCAGUGGAAUCCUUGCUAUUGAUUGGCUGGUUAAAUAGAGGACUAUUAGCUUCAGACAGGCUAGAUUGAUUGUAAGGCAGCAGCAGGAGCUGAGACUCAGAGCUGAGUGAGCGUCAGGGUGAAAAGGAGAGAGAGAGGGGAACGCGAGGUGGAGAGGGAGGCAGUGCACGUUCGUUCCCUAGCAUCGCUCUGUGACUGCCGGUGCUGAAUAUCUUGCUCCGUAGCUGCCCCAGUCAACAACUUACUGAGGUGCCUUUUCUUUUACAAGAGGAUGUCUGCUUUGAGCCCCAGCAAGAAAUAGCAGACUUCACCUUGGAAUAGUUCGUCUCACUCCUGCGUCAUUAAAGAGGAUCUUGAAAAGGAAACAAAAAUCAAGUCUCCCUUCCAGCCCCACUUUGUUCCAGAAUUGAACAGAAACAGUUUUGUGCUCCAGAACCCAUUCACAGCAGUUUAUAAGAAGAAAAUAUAACACCAAACAUUCUUAAAGUGAAGCAUAAGAUCUGUUUCUGCUGAUGGAAUACUGGAAAUGUAAUUAAAUGUUUAGUUUAAUUACAAUGGAAAAUAAAGGCUUAUUCUCAGAAAUUCAGUGCAGCCCAAAGAAUAGCAAACGUGAGUGAUGAUGUUUCUCAAAAGCAGCCCCCCGGUACACAGUUGUAUAUUCUUCGUUGUGGGUCCUUCUAGUUGUGGCACGUGGGAUGCUGUCUCAGCGUGGUUUGAUGAGCAGUGCCAUGUCUCCGCCCAGGAUUUGAACCAACGAAACACUGGGCCGCCUGCAGAGGAGCGCGUGAACUUAACCACUCGGCCACGGGGCCAGCCCCCCAAUGUUAAUUUUUAAUCAAUAUUUGAGUUGUUGUUAUUUUAGAAAUUAUAGAUAUUCUCAUGGUUAAAAAUACCAACAGCUCAAAAUGUUUAAGAAAAGUUCUUCCUCCUAGCACCAUCCCCCAGAGGAAUUCCUAUUUUUAAUUCUACUGGUAGACAAUAUAAUUAUUUCUUAUACUCACAACUUAAAAAAAAAUCCAUUUAUGUGUCAACUCCCUACCAUUAAAAGAUAAGGAAUUUAAUACACUUAAACCAUCUAUUUCCUUCCAGCCCCUUCCGCUUACUGCCUUUAUUUCUUUUAGUCUAUGCUUCUAUGUCUUAAAAAAUUUAAAUUUCUCCUUUUUCACUUCCCAAUUCUAGUUGCUGUCUAUUGAUGCCUUGUCCUUUAUAAAGAUGAAGAAAUGUAUAUACUUACCCCCCUCCACCUUGCCUCUCCAAUUUUGUUAGUCAUGUUAUUAUUUUGUGUGUAUAAGUUCUUUGGUUUUACAUUGAUUUAGCAUCUAAUUAUUUUCCCAUGCUUUCUGAGUUUAUUAAAAUGACAAAUCAAUAAACAGUUCCAGUCCAUUUGUGAAAUCCUAUGUCUUUGAAAUUGUUGCUCAAAGAAAAAUCUUUCAAGUGUCAAGGUCUAAUGGUCAUUUUUCAAGCUUGUCUAAUCAUAAGAAUAAAUUAAUAGGAAGCUUUUAAAUAUUCAGAUUCCAGGCAUCUACACUAAGGAAUCUGAUUUGACUGGUCCAGGGAGGCUAAGAUUAGUCUUAUAAUCAGAAAAGAUGAACUUAAUGAUUCCUUUGUCUUUUGUCUGGAUCUGUUCUGUGACCAGUAUUUCUUGCUUUCUUUCGUCACUGUCUUUCUUUUAUUUA